GUCACUUCUUGGCCUUUUGGCUAAGAUCAAGUGUAGUGUAUGUUUGACUUUCCAAUAAAAAAUAAAUCUUAAAAAAAAGGCAGAUUUUCCAUUUUCCAUGCAAAGUCAGAUAUACAGAGAGGAGGAGAGACAGGAAGAUCUUCUGUUCGAUCGUUCACUCCCCAAGCAGCCACAACGGCCAGAGCUGAGCCGAU